rnacentral:rRNA from 1 species
CUACGUGCCAGCAGCCGCGGUAAUACGUAUGUCGCGAGCGUUAUCCGGAAUUAUUGGGCAUAAAGGGCAUCUAGGCGGCCUAUCAAGUCAGGGGUGAAAACCUGCGGCUCAACCGCGGGCCUGCCUUUGAAACUGAUAGGCUGGAGUAUCGGAGAGGUGGACGGAACUGCACGAGUAGAGGUGAAAUUCGUAGAUAUGUGCAGGAAUGCCGAUGAUGAAGAUAGUUCACUGGACGGUAACUGACGCUGAAGUGCGAAAGCCGGGGGAGCGAACAGGAUUAGAUACCCUGGUAGUCCCGGCCGUAAACGAUGAUUACUGGGUGUGGGCAGGAAGACUGUCUGUGCCGAAGCGAAUGCGAUAAGUAAUCCGCCUGGGGAGUACGACCGCAAGGUUGAAACUCAAAGGAAUUGACGGGGACCCGCACAAGCGGUGGAGCAUGUGGUUUAAUUCGACGCAACGCGAGGAACCUUACCAGAUCUUGACA